AUUGAACGCUGGCGGCAUGCCUUACACAUGCAAGUCGAACGGCAGCACGGGAGCAAUCCUGGUGGCGAGUGGCGAACGGGUGAGUAAUACAUCGGAACGUGCCCAGUUGUGGGGGAUAGCCCGGCGAAAGCCGGAUUAAUACCGCAUACGACCUACGGGUGAAAGCGGGGGAUCGCAAGACCUCGCGCUAUUGGAGCGGCCGAUGUCGGAUUAGCUAGUUGGUGGGGUAAAAGCCUACCAAGGCUACGAUCCGUAGCUGGUCUGAGAGGACGACCAGCCACACUGGGACUGAGACACGGCCCAGACUCCUACGGGAGGCAGCAGUGGGGAAUUUUGGACAAUGGGCGCAAGCCUGAUCCAGCCAUGCCGCGUGCGGGAAGAAGGCCUUCGGGUUGUAAACCGCUUUUGUCAGGGAAGAAACGGUUUGGGCUAAUACCCCGAACUAAUGACGGUACCUGAAGAAUAAGCACCGGCUAACUACGUGCCAGCCGCCGCAGUAACAC
rnacentral:rRNA from 1 species